rnacentral:rRNA from 1 species
GGAAUAUUGGACAAUGGGCGCAAGCCUGAUCCAGCCAUGCCGCGUGCAGGAAGAAGCAUCUAUGGUGUGUAAACUGCUUUUAUACAGGAAGAAACACUCCCUCGUGAGGGAGCUUGACGGUACUGUAAGAAUAAGGACCGGCUAACUCCGUGCCAGCAGCCGCGGUAAUACGGAGGGUCCAAGCGUUAUCCGGAAUCAUUGGGUUUAAAGGGUCCGUAGGCGGUUUAAUAAGUCAGUGGUGAAAUCUGGUCGCUCAACGAUCAAACGGCCAUUGAUACUGUUAGACUUGAAUUAUAAGGAAGUAACUAGAAUAUGUAGUGUAGCGGUGAAAUGCUUAGAUAUUACAUGGAAUACCAAUUGCGAAGGCAGGUUACUACUUAUGGAUUGACGCUGAUGGACGAAAGCGUGGGGAGCGAACAGGAUUAGAUACCCUAG